GGCUCAGAUUGAACGCUAUGGCGGAUAACACACAUGCAAGUCGAACGGCAGCGGACUUCGGUCGGUGGCGAGUGGCGAACAGGUGAGUAAUGUAUCGGAACGUGCCUAGUAGCGGGGAUAGCUACGCGAAAGCGUAGCUAAUACCACAUACGCCCUUCGGGGGAAAGCGGGGAUACCUUCGGGCCUCGCUAAUAGAGCGGCCGAUAUCGGAUUAGCUGGCGGAUUGGUGGGAGUAACGGCUCGCAAGGCGACGAUCCCGUAGCUGGUUUGAAGGAGACGACCAGCCACACUGGGACUGAGACACGGCCCAGACUCCUACGGAAGGCAGCAGUGGGGGAAUUUUGGACAAUGGGGGAAACCCUGAUCCAGCCAUCCCGCGUGUGCGAUGAAGGCCUUCGGGUUGUAAAGCACUUUUUUGGCAGGAAAGAAACGGCACGGGAUAAUACCCCGUGCAACUGACGGUACCUGCAGAAUAAGCACCGGCUAACUACGCGUGCCAGCAGCCGCGGUAAUACAGUGCAAGCGUUAAUCGGAAUUACUGGGCGUAAAGCGUGCGCAGGCGGUUCGGAAAGAAGAUGUGAAAUCCCAGAGCUUAACUUUGGAACUGCAUUUUUAACCACGAGCUAGAGUGUGUCAGAGGAGGUGGAAUUCCGCGUGUAGCAGUGAAAUGCGUAGAUAUGCGGAGGAACACCGAUAAUUGAAGGCAACCUCCUGGGAUAACACUGACGCUCUUAGCGUGGGAGCAAACAGGAUUAGAUACCCUGCGUGGUCCACGCCCUAAACGAUGUCAACUAGCUGUUGGGGCCUUCGGGCCGCUAGUAGCGCAGCUAACGCGUGAAGUUGACCGCCUGGGAGUACGGUCGCAAGAUUAAAACUCAAAGGAAUUGACGGGGACCCGCACAAGCGGUGGAUGAUGUGGAUUAAUUCGAUGCAACGCGAAAACCUUACCUACCCUUGACAUGUCUGGAAUCCCGAAAGAGAUUUAGAGUGCUCGCAAGGAGGAACCGGAACACAGGUGCUGCAUGGCUGUCGUCAGCUCGUGUCGUGAGAUGUUGGGUUAAGUCCCGCAACGAGCGCAACCCUUGUCAUUAGUUGCUACGAAAGGGCACUCUAUUGAGACUGCCGGUGACAAACCGGAGGAAGGAAGGUGGGGAUGACGUCCGUCCUCAUGGCCCUUAUGGGCAGGGCUUCACACGUCAUACAAUGGUCGGGACAGAGGGUCGCCAACCCGCGAAGGGGGAGCCAAUCCCGGCUUGAUCGUAAGUCGGAUCGCAGUCUGCAACUCGACUGCGUGAAGUCGGAAUCGCUGGUAAUCGCGGAUCAGCAUGUCGCGGUGAAUACGUUCCCGGAUAGCCCUUCGCCCAUCACACCAUGGGAGUGGUUUUACCAGAAGUAGUUAGCCUAACCGUAAGGGCGGUGCCGUCGGAUUCGCUGACUGGGGUGAAGUCGUAACAAGGUAG
rnacentral:rRNA from 1 species